rnacentral:rRNA from 1 species
UUAAGUUAUUAAGGGCGCACGGUGGAUGCCUUGGCACUAGAAGCCAAUGAAGGACGUUACUAACGACGAUAUGCUUUGGGGAGCUGUAAGUAAGCUUUGAUCCAGAGAUUUCCGAAUGGGGAAACCCAGCAUGAGUUAUGUCAUGUUAUCGAUAUGUGAAUACAUAGCAUAUCAGAAGGCACACCCGGAGAACUGAAACAUCUUAGUACCCGGAGGAAGAGAAAGAAAAUUCGAUUCCCUUAGUAGCGGCGAGCGAAACGGGAAGAGCCCAAACCAACAAGCUUGCUUGUUGGGGUUGUAGGACACUCUAGAGUUACAAAGGACGACAUUAGACGAAUCAUCUGGAAAGAUGAAUCAAAGAAGGUAAUAAUCCUGUAGUCGAAAAUGUUGUCUCUCUUGAGUGGAUCCUGAGUACGACGGAGCACGUGAAAUUCCGUCGGAAUCUGGGAGGACCAUCUCCUAAGGCUAAAUACUCUCUAGUGACCGAUAGUGAACCAGUACCGUGAGGGAAAGGUGAAAAGCACCCCGGAAGGGGAGUGAAAUAGAACCUGAAACCGUGUGCUUACAAGUAGUCAGAGCCCGUUAAUGGGUGAUGGCGUGCCUUUUGUAGAAUGAACCGGCGAGUUACGAUUUGAUGCAAGGUUAAGCAGUAAAUGUGGAGCCGUAGCGAAAGCGAGUCUGAAUAGGGCGUUUAGUAUUUGGUCGUAGACCCGAAACCAGGUGAUCUACCCUUGGUCAGGUUGAAGUUCAGUGAAUGGAGGACCGAACCGACUUACGUUGAAAAGUGAGCGGAUGAACUGAGGGUAGCGGAGAAAUUCCAAUCGAACCUGGAGAUAGCUGGUUCUCUCCGAAAUAGCUUUAGGGCUAGCCUCAAGUGAUGAUUAUUGGAGGUAGAGCACUGUUUGGACGAGGCCGAAUUCAGACAAACUCCGAAUGCCAAUUAAUUUAACUUGGGAGUCAGAACAUGGGUGAUAAGGUCCGUGUUCGAAAGGGAAACAGCCCAGACCACCAGCUAAGGUCCCAAAAUAUAUGUUAAGUGGAAAAGGAUGUGGCGUUGCCACAACUAGAGUCGAGUGACACUGCGCCGAAAAUGUACCGGGGCUAAACAUAUUACCGAAGCUGUGGAUUGUCCUUGGACAAUGGUAGGAGAGCGUUCUAAGGGCGUUGAAGCAUGAUCGUAAGGACAUGUGGAGCGCUUAGAAGUGAGAAUGCCGGUGUGAGUAGCGAAAGACGGGUGAGAAUCCCGUCCACCGAUUGACUAAGGUUUCCAGAGGAAGGCUCGUCCGCUCUGGGUUAGUCGGGUCCUAAGCUGAGGCCGACAGGCGUAGGCGAUGGAUAACAGGUUGAUAUUCCUGUACCACCUAUAAUCGAUGGGGGGACGCAGUAGGAUAGGGAAGCGUUGGAUUGCACGUCUAAGCAGUAAGGCUGAGUAAUCCGGUACUCGGGCUGAGCUGUGAUGGGGAGAAGACCGAGUCGUUGAUUUCACACUGCCGAGAAAAGCCUCUAGAUAGAAAAUAGGUGCCCGUACCGCAAACCGACACAGGUAGUCAAGAUGAGAAUUCUAAGGUGAGCGAGCGAACUCUCGUUAAGGAACUCGGCAAAAUGACCCCGUAACUUCGGGAGAAGGGGUGCUCUUUAGGGUUAACGCCCAGAAGAGCCGCAGUGAAUAGGCCCAAGCGACUGUUUAUCAAAAACACAGGUCUCUGCUAAACCGUAAGGUGAUGUAUAGGGGCUGACGCCUGCCCGGUGCUGGAAGGUUAAGAGGAGUGGUUAGCUUCUGCGAAGCUACGAAUCGAAGCCCCAGUAAACGGCGGCCGUAACGGUCCUAAGGUAGCGAAAUUCCUUGUCGGGUAAGUUCCGACCCGCACGAAAGGCGUAACGAUUUGGGCACUGUCUCAACGAGAGACUCGGUGAAAUCAUAGUACCUGUGAAGAUGCAGGUUACCCGCGACAGGACGGAAAGACCCCGUGGAGCUUUACUGUAGCCUGAUAUUGAAAUUCGGCACAGCUAGCUGUGUUGGCUUUCUAACCCGCACCACUUACGUGGUGGGAGACAGUGUCAAGCGGGCAGUUUGACUGGGGCGGUCGCCUCCUAAAAGGUAACGGAGGCGCUCAAAGGUUCCCUCAGAAUGGUUGGAAAUCAUUCAUAGAGUGUAAAGGCAUAAGGGAGCUUGACUGCGAGACCUACAAGUCGAGCAGGGUCGAAAGACGGACUUAGUGAUCCGGUGGUUCCGCAUGGAAGGGCCAUCGCUCAACGGAUAAAAGCUACCCCGGGGAUAACAGGCUUAUCUCCCCCAAGAGUUCACAUCGACGGGGAGGUUUGGCACCUCGAUGUCGGCUCAUCGCAUCCUGGGGCUGUAGUCGGUCCCAAGGGUUGGGCUGUUCGCCCAUUAAAGCGGUACGCGAGCUGGGUUCAGAACGUCGUGAGACAGUUCGGUCCCUAUCCGUCGUGGGCGUAGGAAAUUUGAGAGGAGCUGUCCUUAGUACGAGAGGACCGGGAUGGACAUACCUCUGGUGUACCAGUUGUCGUGCCAACGGCAUAGCUGGGUAGCUAUGUGUGGACGGGAUAAGUGCUGAAAGCAUCUAAGCAUGAAGCCCCCCUCAAGAUGAGAUUUCCCAACUCGGUUAUAAGAUCCCUCAAAGAUGAUGAGGUUAAUAGGUUCGAGGUGGAAGCAUGGUGACAUGUGGAGCUGACGAAUACUAAUCGAUCGAAGACUUAAU